GUGAGACGAAAGCAGAAGAUUUUCAUAUGAAGAUGGGAACCCGCUGCUGUGCUGCUGCUGCCGUCCACCACUCCAUGAAAGGAAUCGAAGAGGAAGUUUGGAACAAUCAGAAAGGGAACGGCUGAAAAAGAAAUACUGUAAAGGUUAAGUCACGCUUAAUUAGGUAAAGCCUAAACUA